ensembl:lncRNA
AUCAUGACUAGUGCGUAAUAGCAUUAGCUAACAGCUAGUCGAUUUUACCUUUUCCUCCAUUAUGGUCAUAUAUAGUCUGUGUUACAGACUAUAUCAACUUCUGUGUUGACACUGUGGUUCCCAAAAAAUACAUUCUGUGCUUCCCCAACAAUAGGCCCUGGGUUACCAAAGCCAUCAAAGCAACCCUGAACAAGAAAAAAAGAGCUUUCAGAAACGGUGACAGAGAUCAGCUGAAACUGGUGCAGAAGGAGCUGAAAGCCAAGAUUGCAGAGGGUAAAGAGUCCUACAGAAGGAGGCUGGAAAACAAACUGCAGGAAAACAACACCAGGGAGGUGUGGAAUGGAAUGCGGGCCAUCACUUGCCUGAGACAAAAGAGAGGUGUUGGGAUGGAUGGGGACGUCGGAAGUGCUAACAACCUAAAUCUGCACUUCAAUAGGUUUGACUGCCAUGUGUCUCCUGUCUCCACACCCAGCUCUUCCCAUCUUCUCCUUUCUCCUCCCCCCUCACCUGCCCCCUCAGACUGUCUAACCCUGUCCCUCUCAGCAGAUGACAUCAAAAGAGAAUUGGGCAGACUCCACUCCAGCAAAGCUGCUGGCCCUGACGGUGUCAGUCCCAGGGCCCUCAGGUUCUGUGCUUCCCAGCUGUCUGGAGUUCUACAACGGAUCUUCAACAUGAGUCUGGAAAUGCAGAGAGUCCCAUCACUCUGGAAGACAUCCUGCCUGGUUCCUGUCCCUAAAAAGAUCAACCUGUUGACCCUCGGUGACUACAGGCCAGUGGCUCUGACCUCACAUGUCAUGAAGACGCUAGAGAGGCUCAUCCUGAAACAUCUGCGUCUGCUCGUGGAGCCCCGGCUGGACCCCCUGCAGUUUGCUUAUCAACCUCGUAUCGGCGUGGAGGAUGCCAUCAUCUACCUGCUGGACCAGGCUUAUUCUCAUCUGGACAUUGUUGGGAGCACUGUGAGGGUCAUGUUCUUUGACUUCUCAAGUGCUUUUAACACGAUCAGACCAUCACUGCUGGGGAAUAAGCUCACGGAAAUGCAGGUGGACGCCCCACUGGUAGGUUGGAUUACGGACUAUUUAACAAGUCGACCACAGUAUGUCCGACUGAAGAGCUGCCGCUCAGAUAACAUCCUGAGCAGCACAGGGGCGCCGCAGGGGACGGUACUAUCACCCUUCCUCUUCACCCUCUACACAUCUGACUUCAGGUACAAGUCUCAGUCAUGUCAUCUGCAGAAAUUCUCAGAUGACUCUGCCAUCGUGGGCUGUAUCAGGGAUGGACAGGAGGAGGAGUACAGGAGUGUGGUGGACAGCUUUGUCGAGUGGUGUGAGCUAAACCACCUACAACUUAACAUCACAAAGACAAAAGAACUGAUUAUGGACUUCAGGAAGCAGGCUCCUCCUCCUACCCCUGUCACCAUCAGAGGGGCUGAUGUGGAGAUAGUUGAGGACUACCGGUACCUGGGGGUACACUUGGACUGUAAACUGGACUGGACCAAGAACACCAAUGCUGUCUUCAAAAAAGGGCAGAGUCGGCUUUUCCUACUGAGGCGACUCAGGUCCUUCAAUGUUGGUAGGAAAAUGCUGACCAUGUUCUAUCACUCGGUGUUGGAGAGCGUCGUGUUCUUUGCAGCUGUGUGCUGGGGAAGUGGGGUGAAGACAGCUGAUGCCAACAGGCUGAACAAACUGAUUAAAAAGGCUGGUUCUGUCCUGGGUGUCAGACUUGAGAACCUGGAGGAGGUGUCUGAGAGGAGAAUGCUAAAAAAGCUUCUUUCUAUCAUGGACAACCCCUGUCACCCCAUGCACGCCCCCAUGAUGGACCAUCGGAGCAAACGCAGCAAAAGACUCAUUGCCCCAAAAUGCAGAACUGACCGCCACAGUAAAGCCUUUGUGCCGGUGGCAAUAAGACUGUAUAACUUUUCCUCACUCUGUAGGUGAUUUUCCUGAGACUAUUACCAAUGUUAUUCUGUUCCUUUUCAGACCGUGCAAUAUUAUCCAACAGUACCUUAUUGAAUAUUGAAUAUUUGUUUCAUCCCCCCAUCAUACGCUGCUACUCCCUUUAUUCUAUUGCACAAUACUAUGUCACUUUCUAGAAUUGCCUGCACUGAUAGUUAAGUUAUUUAUUCUCCAGGAUACAGUCAUUUAUAUUAUUUCAUUAGAGUUAUUUGAUACCAUGUCUUGCACUAUCCUACUACUGUACAUUACUGUAUACUACUAUUCUUAUUGUAUAUAUUGUAUAUCAUCUUAUUUAUCUGUUCCUCUGUCUCUCCCGCUGCUUUGAGCAUGUACAUGACAAAAGAAUUUCCC